GAGUGGAAGCGGCAUGCGCGCUCAUCUCGGUGGGACUGAACGCAUCGAAAACCGGAGACGGGAGAGAAGAUUGACCGGUUUGCGUCCGUUAAGGAGCCUCAGACCGCGGGGAGCGAUGCUCAGAACGAGUCACUCCGCAGGCAGCAGGACUUAAAAAGCUGCGGUCCAUCCAUCUGGACACUUUUUACUCUCACCCCUUCCCCUUUGAUAAGAAAUAUAAGAAUCCAGACAGUCAUCUUCCAGUUUACAGUCCUCUUUGGGUAUCUAAGCCCAGUUUAAAGACCAGUCUCGGUUUGAUUUUAGCACGAUGUGGAAGACCGGGAUCCUCCUGCUACUGUGGGUGUUUUUGGCGUCCGGCGAACUCCAACAAGAGACGGAGCCGCGGAGACUCCCACCCCCGGGAAAGUUGGAUUUCGGUUAUGUGCCUGCGGGAGUUUACGAGACUCUGGCCCAUUACGAACCGGGACCCAUAGGGAUCUUGUUCCAUAUGGUGCACGUUUUUCUGCAUGUCGUGCAACCCAACCCUUUCCCACAAGAUCUUAUUGUCAAACUGGCAAAAGACAAGUUUGGAGCCAUUCAGACUGAAUACCAAAAGGCCAUCUACUACGAGAUAGGCUUCCUAGUAUGUGCGGCAGUUGGCCUGCUGUUCGCCGUUUUGGUGCCGAUAGCCGGCCUCUUCUUCUGCAUGUGCCGCUGCUGUGACAACUGUGGUGGCGAGAUGCACCAACGCCAGAGGAAGAACGCAGACUGCCGGCGUGGCCUGCUGGGAACACUACUCUUCGCCACCUCACUGGUCAUCACGAUCGGAGUGCUGUGUGCAUAUGCUGCCAAUCAAAACCUGAGCUCUCAGGUGAAGAACAUACGGAGAUUGGUCAACAGCAACAUGAGGGACCUGCACACCUUCGCUAAUGAUACACCAAUGCAAAUUGAUUACCUAAUAUCCCAAUAUGCCACAGCCAAGAACAAAGUCAUCUAUGACCUAGAUAAUAUAGGUCCAUUAUUAGGUGGAAGGAUACACGAUCAGUUGGAUAAGGAGGUCCAUCCUGCCUUGGACAGAGUGCUCAAUAUGGCUGGAGUGAAAAUCGAGAGAGCCAUCAAAGCCAUGCGAGAAACCAAGGAGGCCCUGGAGAACGUUAAUGCUGGUCUAGAGGUCCUGCAGGUAGGAACAGGGAAACUCAACUUCAACCUGAGCCUGGUCCGGACCAGUAUCAACCGCACCCUCAACGACCCGGGCUGUCAUGACGAGGAGUCAGACGCCACCUCUGCCCAGCUGUGCCGCAACAUACGCCAGUCUCUGUUCCAGCUGCAGAUCAGCGCCAAUUUCACACGGUUACCAUACGUGAAUGCUCAGCUGGAAAAGGUGAACCAUGUCAUGAAAACGGACCUCAGUGCUAUCGUCCAGAGGGGCUACUCUUCUUUAAACAACACGCCACAUACAGUGAUUGAACAGACCAGAAGUGUUGUGGAGAGUGUACAGAGUUUGGUGGACGACAUUGGCAAAAACAUCAGCAGCUAUUCCAAGGUAUUCCCUGUGCAGAGUUCCCUGUCCAACUUCACUAUCUUCAUUAGCCAUGCCCAUGCCAAGAUUGAGGACUACUACCCUGAAAUUGACAGAAUGGACUUCUACAGGUGGAUUGGCUGUAUUGCUCUUUGCUGCAUGGUGGUCCUGGUCCUGGCCUUUAACUACCUGGGCCUGCUGUGUGGCACCCUGGGAUACGACAAGCACGCCUCACCUACGACACGAGGCUGCAUCUCCAACACAGGAGGAACGAUGCUCGUGGCCGGCGUUGGAUUUAGCAUCAUCUUCUCCUGGGUGCUGAUGGGAGUUGUGACCACCAUCUUCCUGGCUGGAGGAAACAUGGAGAAACUUGUUUGUGAUCCCUUCCACACCAAAGAAGUCUUCAAGGUUGUGGACACCCCAUAUCUGGUCAACCCAGAUUGGAGGAACUUCAUCCCUGGCUACAUGUACAACGACUCCGACCUAGAGCUGACGGCAGAGAGCUUGUACAGUACUUGCAAAGAGAACAAAGGCAUCUACUCAGCAAUGCGUCUGGACAAAGUCUUCAACAUCUCCUUGUUCCUGAACACUACAGUGUUUACUAAGGAUGUGGUGAGUCAUCUGGACAGUGUUAAGAUCGAUCUCAGGGGAAUAAUCCUGUUAGAGACAGAGGGGAAGCAGAACCUUCUGGAUUUCUCUGAAGCAGGGCUGUCAGAAAUCAACUAUGCAGACUACCUGGAAGAGGUCAACAAAGGGGUCACUAUGAUUGACCUGCUCACAUUCGCCAGAGAGCUGGAGGCCCAGACUGACCUCAUGCCCAGAGGCGGUCUGCAGACUGCUCUGAAAGGCCACGUCGGUACUCUGCGGCAGAUUCACAGUCAACAGAUCAUCCCCAUGGAGCAGGCCAUGAAAUAUGUUAGAGCAAGGAGCGCACUGAACCAGAGUAUAAGGUUCCUGGAAAGAACAGCCUCAGACCUGCCAAACAAAGUUUUAGCAGUUAUCGAUGCCAUUGAAGCUGCCCAGUACCUCAUCUCCCAGAAUGCUACACAUUUAAUCAAUCGGGAAACGGAAAAAUACACAGCGACCAUUGUUGGCUACUUCCAUCAAUACAUAGAGUGGGUCAAAACAUCUUUGAUGAUGGAUGUCGCACCGUGCAAGCCCUUCAGCAACAUGGUGGACACGGCAGAGAUCAUUGCUUGCAGUUUUUUGGUCGACUCCAUGAACACAUUCUGGAUGGGUAUGGGCUGCAGCACUCUCUUCCUGCUCCCGAGCAUCAUUCUUGCAGUAAAACUAGCCAAGUACUACCGCAGGAUGGACACAGAGGAUGUUUACGAUGACAUUGAGACAAUUCCCAUGAAAACUAUGGAAAUUGGUAAUAAUGGUUAUCAUAGUGAGUGCUCACAAGGUAUCCCAAAUCCUAUGAUGACAAGCAUCCCUACCUAUGACACUAUGAACAGGUUCCCGCGGGCCUCGGCUCCUCCGAGGCACAUCGACUGGUGACAGAGAGCUGGCUCUUGUUCUGGCUCCUGAAAGGUAAUGAAAACCUUUGCAAGAGACCACUGUUUCUCUAACGCUGUUUCAUUUAACUUCUUCCUUCCAAUCUUGAAUCUCACUUUGCCACAGCUGUCAUCUGGUCCUGCUGUUUGUCUACCGUCGCAACACUGUCCAUCUCUCUCCUCUGUUUUAAUCUAAUUUAUUUGUACUUCUUAUGUAACCAAACUCUUUAACACUUCUUUACAGCUUGUUUUAGGGCUUUUCUGCUCAUAAUGACUUUGCAGGAAAACCAUCACGGUGAGAAUUGCUAAUUUUGGAAUCACUAACGAACCAUAAAUGUCUUCACGGUAUUUAUGUCUGACUACUUGUGACUGCUUAGUCAGUGUGCUGUAGAGGAGAGAAGCUGAAUCUGCUUAUGUGCUUGUUUUUGUCUUUGUUUGAUGCUUAUCGAGAUUAACAUUUACAAACCAGUAAGUAUUUAGGGACAUAUACUUUUAAAGACAUAACGAAAUGUCAAGGUUUCUCCCAAACGAUAUACAGCAUUUUAGAAUAUAGCUUUUAAUAACUGGAGGGAGAUGCGUUAUUUCUAGAGGACAGCAAGUUUUAAAAUUUUAAAAUUUUUUAGAUUUUCCCAGUAGCACCAUACGGUCUUUGAAAACCCUCCAUGGAGCUUCAUAAAAGACUUAACUGACUGCACUCUUAUGCCUGUUAUUUCACGAAACAGACAGAGCUGCAUUAAUCUCCUGGGCCAUUCAAAAGAGAAAAAAACCAUGACAGUAUGUUUUGAAUUAUUCAUUUAAUAUUUUAUAAAUCUAAUUCACUUUUCUCCAAUAUUUGCCUUCCCAGUGCCCUCGAAAACUAGAACUAAAAUACACUAUACUGUUUGUUUCACGGGCCCUUGGACCAGAAGAAGCUCAAUAAAAGCUAGUCUCUUACAACAGAAGAACACACAAAACCCUUCGGAUGUUUUUUUUUUUUUUUUAUCUUUAGCGAUCAACUCAACCUCCUCAACCAGGAAGAUUAAAGCCUCCUGCAGUUACCUGCUCCCCAUCCAAGAAACUCUGCCUGCAGGACAUCAAACUCUUCUCCUUACCUAAGCAUCAAUCUGAGCCAGGCUUGCUCUACUUCUUCUUUUUUUUUUUCUCCAAGGACUGCUGUGUCUGCGUUUACAUUUGUUCGGACACAAAACCAACAUGAAAAAUAUAUCAGCAACAGGACAUGACAAUAACUCUGAUGCCUGUUCAUAUUAAUGUACUUAUUUGUGCUUAAGAAGACAGUGGCUGAAAGGUCAUCCGAAGGUCACGGUAAGCUGCUAGAGGAAACUUUUUCUUCUGCACAUAGAAUGGAUGUAUCACAUUCAACACGUUAAUACUAAAAGUGGAAAAGUAUGUCAUUACAUCUGCAAAGCAAAAGGUGCAAAUUAACAUGAAAUUCAAUGUGUUAUAAAGCACUGUUGGUUGGGAAUGGCACAUCCUUUUUAACUGCAGCAUGUGUGAGUUGGUGGUUGUCAGUGUUCCUUAAUGACUGAGAACGGGGUGAUUUGAACAAAGUGGUAAAAAUAUAGAAAGAGGAUGGUCCCAGGUGGAUUUGUGUGACUAAUAUAAAGAAAUUUAGCAUGACUUGUUGAAAAAUGUUUACAAUAUUAUAAUUGGUUUUUGGGCGAAUUGCAAAUGACAGGUUGCCUUUCAGAAGUUUUUUUCACACUGGUUUUUGACAGUUAUGCUCCUUCUCAAAAGGGAAAAUCCACCAACCGAUGCUCUUACACUGUUAAAAUCGGUCACUAACACUAUACAUGGUGUUUAAAAUCUACUCUUUAUUUAGGCUUUUUCAGCAUACCCAUUUUCCCCUAACCAGUGUAAUCUACUCUUGUGCCAGGUCUUCAUUUCCUACAUUUCCCAGAAUGGCUUUAAACAACUCUGAAAAUAAUAAUAAAAAUAAUUAUAGCCAUUAAGACGAAUGCAUGUUAAAAGCAUAACAUGGCUUGUUGCUGCAUUCAGAUUUAAUGUAAAUGUCUGGGGCUGCUAAUUUGUUUUAACAUUGAACAAAGUGUUGGCACUAAAUCCUGACUAAAUGUAAAACUAGUAGUUCUUUGCACAGAUUGAUUUAUUUGAAUGGUUUUUGACACCGUAAAAAAGAAAAAUCACAAAGAUUAGAGAACUCGGACAACAACAUUGCAUUAUGCGCACGGAAAUUAGUUUUAACUUUUUCUUUCCUGUCUUGGGAAUCAUCUUUGGGACCCUUCACAUUUAUCCUUGGAGCAUUUAGGGAGCCUCACCCACAGUUUGGGUACCACUUAUUUAGAAAGCUAAAAAGCACAUCUUCAUUGUAGCUCUGCUGGAAAAAUCUGACCACAACAUCCUGCCAUCAAGGUUUUCGCCAUUAUUACCAACAAUACACCACAAAACAGCAAAAUCCAUCAACAAAUGCAUCACCAAAUACAAUUUUACCUUUAAGUGUUGGAGGUGGAUUUUCCCUUAAGUCAAAGCAUAACUUCUUAAUAUAUCACACACUAUGACAAGUGUCAGGCUUAUAGCUUGUUCCCUAGCUGAUUUCAACUGAGUUCACUAACAUGAGAUUUUUACUGAGAUCUUUCUUGCUUUUCAUAGUGAUGAUAAGUUUAAAGUGGAGAAAUACUUUCUCAAGCCAAAUUUCUUUUCUACUGUAGGUCUCAGGUCUUUAGUGGUCUAUCAAUUAUGUGCUUAUUUUUUCUGCUUUUUAAAACCCCACAGUAGCUAUGGAUACAUUGAAAGAAAAACUAUAUAGAACGAGUGAAUGUACUCAAGAGCUAUUUUUUAUUUUGUAUUAAAUGAUAUUGGCUGAGAAAUAUGCUGAACUCUCAUCACUAACGCAUUGGGCAAGCCAAUGCAGUUAUCCCACCCACCUCGCCUCAAUGUUUACAGGUUAGAUUUGCAUCGGCUGUCAGCUACAUAGUAAUGACGGUGAAACAUUAGACAAUCCAUUCAUGGGACAAUUCAAAUAACCAGUGCUAUAACUGUUGAUGGUGUUGAUGCCCACUGAAAAAAAAAAAAUGUCCAUCUUAACAUUAAAAGUCUGAAUUUUAUAUGUUUAGCUGAUGCUAACCAUGCAUCAGCAGAAUAAGCUAGCCUAGAGUAACUACCUUACAGUACCAAAUGUAAAUUUAGCACUAAGAAAUAUAUUUCUUAGUGCUGUAAAUUAGAUUAAAAAAAAUUGAAAUUAGAUUAAAUUAGAUUAAAUUAAAUUAGAUUAAAUGUAAAAUCAUAUAUGAUUUUACAUUUAAUCUAGUAAAAACAGAAAACUUUCAACCAGAUGAAAUAGAGUAUAUUUCAACACUUUUACUGUAUUUUGUUGAUUUUAGGAAAGAGCUGAAACGAUUUUGAAAUAACUUUGAUGCUAGCUUUUUGAUCACCUACCACCUAAAACCAACUGAUUAGCAUUAAAAAAUACAGAAAAUAUUAAUAUUGUCUGUACAUUAUUCCUUUUAUAUAUAACAAUGUGUAAGCAACUAAUUCAUUUCAUGAAUCAAAAGGAAUGCAUUCCAUAAUAUUAGAUAAGUUUUGGCCAAACAAAUACCUAGGCUAGUUAGCUAGUAGCUACAAAGCUAGCUACCUUUCUUAUGUAGCCUACAGUAGCUCAUAUACUAGUAGUAUAUACGGUACUGCAUACUACAGUACACAUAGUAGUAGCAUAAAUAAGCAGUAUGCUGUACAUACUGUACCAGUGUUCUGGAUUCAAAACGGCAUUAGCAUUACUUGUUUCUUGUUAAGAUGGACAUUUUUUAAGUAGCUGUGUGCUCACUUUGACAGGACUAUCAUUCUUGUCUGCUAGCGUCUGGAUGUAACCCGUCUUGGGCGAAAAACUAGAAUUUUACUAAGUGCUUAACAUUGAUAUCGUGUAUCUGAACCUUCAGGACGGAUACAGUGGUAACUGGUUUGAACUGCGAUGCUUCAAAGUUGGGCACUGAUGGAGCAACUGAAGAGGAACAUUUUCAUGUGGUGGUGAAAAGUGUAUAAAUUGUGAAUAAACUUUAAAAUUCAA